rnacentral:rRNA from 1 species
UGAGGAAUAUUGGUCAAUGGGUGCAAGCCUGAACCAGCCAUCCCGCGUGAAGGACGACUGCCCUAUGGGUUGUAAACUUCUUUUGUAUAGGGAUAAACCUACCCUCGUGAAGGUAGCUGAAGGUACUAUACGAAUAAGCACCGGCUAACUCCGUGCCAGCAGCCGCGGUAAUACGGAGGGUGCAAGCGUUAUCCGGAUUUAUUGGGUUUAAAGGGUCCGUAGGCGGACUUAUAAGUCAGUGGUGAAAGCCUGUCGCUUAACGAUAGAACUGCCAUUGAUACUGUAAGUCUUGAGUAUAUUUGAGGUAGCUGGAAUAAGUAGUGUAGCGGUGAAAUGCAUAGAUAUUACUUAGAACACCAAUUGCGAAGGCAGGUUACCAAGAUAUAACUGACGCUGAGGGACGAAAGCGUGGGGAGCGAACA